UCUUGUUCAAUACCUAUUUUCCCGUUCUUGUAACAAUAAUAUCGGAUCGAGACCAAGAGGUUUUGGUACGGUGGUGAUUCGUGCCUGCUUGGAAUGUUGGAUGCUGCCGGGUCUCGUUUGUUGCGGCUUGUACGGCUGAAAUACGGAUUCACCAAUUUUAAUGAAGUUUUAAAAAUUAUUUACUUUAACGAGUAAUUUUAACGAAACAAUUCGAUCAAAGUUCCACAUUAUACCUGACGAACCUGCUGUCCGUGAGAUACCUGAGGAGGAGGAGGCGGCGGCAACUGCUGGUACUGUCCCUGAAGUGGGGCGGCGGGCGGCCUCAUAAAAUGGGAGGCGGCCGGGGGCGGCAACGAUAUCGGUACCGCCGCAGGUUCAUCGUACGGAUCUCUCGGAGCCUCCUAAGUAAACGUGUUUUAAAUUU